AGCUGCCUUAAAGGUAAAGCUACCCCAUGACACUCAGUUUGUACUUUUAAUAAAUACUUCCAAGCAGGUUGAAGGACAAUGUGAUUUAAUGCACAAAGCUAACUCGAGCACAAUGCAUAAAACUUGGGGAACUGAAGGAUUGCCACAAUGACAGAGAGCUCAGGACUGUUUGCAGAAGGACAAAGGGCGCCAGGAGAGAGAAAAAUCCACUCAGAGGAGAUGAGCCACUAAUGGUUCAGUGAUCAGCACGUGAUAAGGAUUUGGUUGACUGGUUGACCAUGCAUCUUAAUGUUGGUCUCCCGAAAGAAAAAAAAAAACACUCAGACUUCAUCCCUUUCUGGGAAAAUCUCAGAAAAAUUCUACGUCUCAAGGACUGCUUCCUGAAAAUCCCCUUCCCAGAAACCUCUUCAGCAGUUGAACAUCUAAAUUCUGAAUAUGUAACAACACAUCACAGAGAAAAAAACUGAGACUGCAUGGCCUCAGGCUGAAAAAACUGUAUAAAACUCGGCACCCCAACAGACGGUUGGUGAACUUGGGGGAAUUAGUGCGGCAGAGACUCGUUCAGGGCUCACCCAGCACCGACCCCGGGCUCAACAUUUGCCUUUAAUUGUGGCUGUCCCCAAAUCUAUUUUUGCAAAUUUAUCAAUAAAAAUUAUUGAUAAAAUUUAAUUGAUUUAUUUUUAACACUUUUAGUUUAGACUUUUUACAUUUGAAACUAAUGCUGACUCUCAUUAUUAGGUUGCUGCCUUUUGAACCAGGUUUUACAGGUUGGAGAAAGACCACUUUUACCUUACAAAGAUGUUCUGUUAAUUACACUUCAUGGUUUGGUCAAGGAUUUCCACAGUCCAAUGAAUUGUAUUCCCAUACUAUAAUAAAAUGUGUAAAAAUGCUGAAAUAAUACUCCCAAAAGAAAAUAAACUCAGUGUUGUAUACAGUGCUAAUAUUAGCAUAUUAUUUCCCAUACUUUCUUGUCCUUGUGUAAUUCAUUUAUGAUUUAUUUUGCCAAUGUCAUCCUCUCUCUAUCUUGAUUUGAUAUAGUCUGUGGCCUUCAAGUUACAGGAAAAUCCCCCAGGAGAAUUGGCACACCAAGAUUCAUGUCAGAGAACUCACAAAUGUGACUCAGUGCAGUAACUUCAGUACUAAACUCCUUUUAGAGUUGAGAUUCCACCAAGUGUAACUUGGAAGACAGAAAAAAAAGAGAAGAAAAAAAGGAGAAAAGAUAGAA